AUCUAUGAGCGAGAAGAGGAGGGAACUGAACGCCUGAGGUCUGCUUCAAACCAGACGCCCCGUCACUUACUGCUUCGUAAAAGGCAGAAGUGGAACCAAGCCCGAAUCUCCCAACCCACCCCCUCGUUUUACAGGGUUGCUGAGAGGAUCUGAUGAGAUCAUCAAAGUACCAAGGGCUUAGCUGCGGGGCCUGGCCCACGAUGGGCUUUUUAGACCGAGUUCUCCAUGGAAGGAGAUGCCCGGGAGCCCUCCCCAGCCCUCCUCCUGGCCCUUUUGGCUGCGGUCUCCCUCCCCAGAGAUCUGCGAGCGCAGAGGCCACAUCUGGCUUUCUUCUUCUUCUUUGUAGCCACAGCCCUUCGCACAGAGCCAGGCCCGGAGUAGGCUUUUAUUAAUGCUUAAUGAAUUAUCGAAUACAGAUGCUGGUUCUCUACUUGUCUUAUUAUUCUCAUUUAUUGUGCUUAAACAAGCUCAGAAGCUGCGACUGAAAGGUUUCCAGAAGGGGUUUCCUCGAGGUGGGAGGGAGGGGGCACGUGGGGAGCCCUUUCACGGAAGGACCCCGAACUGUAAGUGGCCACAGGGGCCUGGCAUGGGCUUUGCGUGGUGAAAUCGGGCCGUGGCCUGAGAGUGACCCUGGCUAGCAUGUCCACUUUAGGUCUUGGUCACGCGGCCGGGAGGAGACCGGAGCCCCGCCCUGGCCAUGUGCCGGCUGUGGGCCAGUCAGGCGGCUGCUCGGGGCCUCUGGGCGAUGCUGGAGACCGGAAGUUCCGUAGGUUAGGGUGAGCGGGAACCGGCCGCUUUAGAGUGUCGGAGAGACUUCUCGAUGUGCACAAAGUCAAAGCCCACCAAACGUGUGCGCGUGAAAUCACUCUAACACACGCACGCGCACCCCCACAUACAUGCACACCCCCCACACGCACAUGCACGCACACACAUGCACACACACACCCUUCUCUGCAGUGCUGCUGGACAAGGGAGGGGGCAGGGGGGGGCCCUGCGUGUGCGUGUGUGAGAGGACUGGGGAGGAGCCCACGAUCACAGUCACGCCAACGGAGGGGUAACCACAGAGAGCUCUUCCCGACUGCUCUGCUGAAGGCUGUAACGGCUUACUGCGUUCGUCCAUUAGACUGGAUCGCACGCACCGCCUUCCCCAGGGGCCGCAGUCUCAGCCGGCUGGCCGUGGGAGGUCCCUGCAAACUAGGGAGGACCGAGUGCCCUGGGGCUCCCCCUGGGGAAGGGGGAGGGGGAGGGGGAGAAUCGCCACCAGAACACCUGCAGAGGCACGAAGGGGGCAUGGCGGUUAGCAAAGUCCUUCCGGGGUCGUCGGGAGGAAGGAACAAGCAGGCGGGUCACUUCCUUUCUGAAAUCUGCACGGGCAGACGCUCUCGGGUUCGGGCACAGAGAGGAGGCCCGUUCGCAGGCGGAAAUGACUAGCAAGAGGACAUUCGUCAAUCUGACCCCAGAGGCUGGCAGUCAAAAACACGGCCGUGUCCUUGUUCUGGGGCCGCCUGGGCUCGGAGAAAACAUGUGCCCACACCUGUCUUCCCAGAGGCACCGGAGUGGAGGGAACGGUAGGCUUUUCAACGCUUCAUGAGACCUCUUCUCAAGUUUAUUCAAAUGAAAACAAUGAGAGGGCAGCUGGGUGGCUCCACGGAUAGAGAGCCGGGCCUGGAGCUGCGAGACCCUGGGCAAAGGCACUGAACCCCCAUUGCCCAGGCCUUACUGUUUUCUGCGACUCUAGGGCAGGCUUUCAGGGAAGGGCUUCUUAAAAACCGAAGGCCAGAAAACACAAAAUCUAAAACGUAGUGCCUCAAUACUGACUUUCUGUCCUGUGCUAACAAAGAGGCAGCCGAUGUUUCUGAGCUUUUCAAGACUUGCAUUUUUUAAAAGAUGUCUAAGGUAAUUAUGCUAUCCGUUCCAAGGCUCUCCUCCAGUCUUAUGGCUAUGGGGGUUGAUUUCUCCAUGAAAUGGGGACAUGAAAUACACAGACAAACACUUGCAAUGACAGCAUCUGUUCACCAACCUUCUAAAAGAAAAGAUGGAAACUAUAAACUUGCCUUCCUCUUGACUCAGGUUCAAUGGUUUAAUAGUAAGAAAAACCAUGGACCUCUGGGUUAGGUGGAUCUUGUAUUGAUGACUAACAAUUUCACCAUUUUCUUCUAAGAAGAAACAGCCUUUUGUCUGUGCACACUGCCACUCCUGAAAACAGAAAGAAGAAGUGACGUGUGAGCCGGCCCCCGGAGGACUGGUAGAGCUUGGAGGGCCGGCAGGGUCGGGGAAUCGCAAAGGGGCAUCAUUAACCUUGAAUGGAGGAGACACGGACGACUGGGAGAUUAAGCCAAAAGAGCGGUCUCCCCAGCACCCAGGCCUCAGACUGAGGAGGACUAGAACCCCAAGCUCAAGUCAGUGGGGUGGGACGAGGCUGGGAGGAGCAAUGGACGCCAGGCUUGGGGCUUGGCAGGGUAGGUUCCCAUAAGUCAGAGCAGGUUUUCAAAGGGAAAGAAAGCAGGGAAGCAAAGGGAGGCAGAUAAGGCUGGUGCAGGCUGGAUGAGAAAAGGAAGAGAAAGGAAGAGGCUGGGCCUGAGGCAGCGCGAAGGGACCAGAGAGGCGAUGUGAGAGACAGACUUAAUUACUGAUUGGCUACCAGAAAAGGAAUGGUGAAAAUGAUCCGGAGUCUUCAAAUCUGCGUACUGAGAAUUCUGUGCCCCUGAUAUGAAUUCUUCAGAAGGGGUCUCUGCCCUGAAGAGGCUCUUGGACGGGUGUUCCAGAGUAACGUGGGAUUGUGCAGUGAGCAGAAACGAACAGACAAACGCCUUUGACUCGGCACACUUCCAAGUCUGACCAAGUUGGGGCGGCACAGUUUUACCCAACUAGCAGAUGGUCUCAAAGACUGGAAGAGUAAUAGGGCUUUGCAGCUGCCUUUAUAAAGGCCAUUUGGGGCAAAAAGGCUCUGUGGGGUUAAGUAACUAAAUGAUAAGCAGAGGUUUUUAUGGUCUUCUAAUAUCUGCUAAGAAAGCCAGAUAACCACAAAAACAUUUAACCCAGAAUGGUCAUUUACUCUGAUUUGGACAAAGAAAGGUAAGACCUCAGAUAAUUGAGGUUAAAUUUACUUUCAAAUUAUUAUGGGCAAAUUUUUCUAGCUUAUGCUUACACAUAAAUUCUUCAUUAGAAAAUUAAAAAUAGACAUGUACAAAAUCAUGUAGCAUUUUACCUUGUCUGAAAAGAACUGAAUGAAAAAAUGAGCAAAUGAAGGUCUUGUUAUCAGUAACAAACUAUUAGUUUUUUAAUAAUUUAUACUCUUUCACAAAAGGAAGGAAAAAUUUAGUUUUAAAUACUUAGAAAUGGAGGGCAGCUGGGUAGCUCAGUGGAUAGAGAGCCAGGCCUAGAGAUGGGAGGUCCUAGAUUCAAAUCUCAGACACUUCCCAGCUGUGUGACCCUGGGCAAGUCACCUGACCCCCAUUGCCUAGCCCUUACCACUCCUCUUCUGCCUUGGAGCCAAUACACAGUAUUGACUCCAAGACAGAAGGUAAGGUCUUAAAAUAAAUAAAUAAAUAAAUACUUAGAAAUGAAAUAAUAGAAAUAAUUCAUAGGGGCAACUUCAUUUAAGUUCUUGGUAUCAUAGUUCCAGAACUCUAAAGGAUCUCAGCAUCCAACCUUCUCAUGUCCGAGAGGCCUAGGGAGAGGCACUGAUUUGCCAAAGUGCUGAGUUUGAAACUGGCCCUUCUUUGCAUUGCUCCCCUAGUACCCACAACAACUGUCACUAUACAAGAUGUGACCACAAAUAAUGAGGACCUUUUUCCAUCUACCACAGAAAGAAAUAAGUCUCAUUAUUUCAUUGUCAGAUCUUGCAAGGAAGGAAGUCCUUAUCUUUCAGUUUCCUCCAAGAGAACUCAAAACACUUUUAGAGCUAUCAUUUUAGCAAUUUUGCAAAACCCCUAGAAGGCAGGGAGAAACAUAAUGUCAAUCACUUUAAUAAAUUAAAAAACAAACAUAAACACUGGUUGAGUGGGUUCUAGGUUUUCAAAGGAGGUGAGAGAAGAAUUAGGAUUGGAUUCCAAGCCUUAAGACUCCCAGAAAAGUACUAUUUCCACUUGAUCAUUCUUCCCCUCCCCAUUUUUAAUAUUUAAUUUCCCUCAAUUACUUUUUUUAGCAUUCAUUUAAAAGAAUUACUUUGAGAUCCAAAUUCUCUCCCUCUUUCCUAUCCUUCCUCCCAUCCCUGUCCCUUUCCUGAGAUCUCAUAAAGAUUUCACAUAAAUCAUGUAAAAUAUUUUUUCAUUUCAGUCAUUUUGUGGAAGAGAUCUCAAAUGGAUAAAAAGGAAGGAAGAAAGUGAAAUAGAGUAUGUUUCCGUCUGUAUUCACUUCAUCAGUUCUUUCUUGGAGGGCAAAUGGCAUUUUUCACCACAAGUCUCUGGGAUUGGCCAAGAUCUCUGGAUUGCUGAGAAUAACUAGGACAUUCAUAGUUGUUCAUCAAAAAUUAUUGCUAUCACUAUAUAUGAUGAUGUUUUUCACUUCAUUUGCUUUGAAUCAGUUCAUGUAAGUCUUUCCAUCCCUUUCUGAAAUCAGCUUGUCAUUUCUUUUUCUUUUUUUGUAUUUAUAAAUUGUCUUCUGUGUUUUCAUUUUCCAGUUCAUUGUCCAGAAGUAACAUUCACAAUUUAUUUUUUUUAAAACCCUUACCUUCCAUCUUGGAGUCAAUACUGUGUAUUGGCUCCAAGGCAGAAGAGUGGUCAGGGCUAGGCCAUGGGGGUGAAGUGACUUAACCAGGGUCACACAGCUGGGAAGUGUCUGAGGCCAGAUUUGAACCCAGGACCUUCCGUCUCUAGACCUGACUCAAUCUACUGAGCCACCCAGCUGCCCCCACACAAUUUAUUCUUCCAGUAUUAAAUCUGUAGCUGUGUAUACUAUUCUGUUGGUUUUACUCAUUCUGCUAUUCAGUACCCCCUGUAGUUCUUUCCCCGUUUUUAAAAAAAUUAGCUUGCUCAUCAUUUCUUAUCUCUACCUUGAGAUUUCAACCAAGAAGUUAUAGGAGGAAAGGAUGGAGAAUGUCACAAAAACCUAGAAAGAGGAAAGGGUGACCAACAGAGUCAGAUGUAGCAAAUAAGUUGAGAAGGCUGAGGAAUAAGAAAAGUCUGUCAGAUUUGGUGAUUACUGACUGUUGGUAACUUUGGAGAGGGCAGGAGAGAGAGAGACAGAGACAGAGGGAGAGACAGGGAGAGAAAGACAGAGACAGACACAGAGAAACAGAGAGAGAGGAUGAAAGAGACAGAGGGAGACAGAGAGACAGAGAAGCAGAGGAAGAGAGAGAGACAGAGGGGGAGAGAGAGAGAGAGAGAGAGAGAGAGAGAGAGAGAGAGAGAGAGAGAGAGAGAGAGAGAGAGGGAGAGAGAGGAAGUUGAAGAUUGGAGUGGGGGAGAUGACUGAGAAGGCAAUCUGCUAGAGAAUAUAGGGAAGGCUGGGAUGGAGGGCACCUGAAGGGAGGCUGGCUUUAGUGAAGAGAAGGAACAUCUCAUUGUCAUACUGGGGGGAAAGGAAGAAAGCAUUAGGAAUGAGACAGGGAGUUCUAAGAUGAAGAGAUUGGGAGAAAAGGGAGCUGAUGUUGAAAGGCCUCAAUUUUCUCAAGAAGGUAAGAAACAAGGGCCUUAGAGAAAGGUGAGGGGUUGGGGGAUGUGGGAGGAAGGUGGGACAGGAGGUCUGAGGAGGGAAGAGAAUGUUUGGAAUGGUUUCUGUAGAACAGACAGGGAAUCAAUAGGGAGGAAUAAAAGGAUUGCCUUGCUACAGGGGGUCUUGCUAAGGUUGAAUAACAUGGCUUAUCAAGUACCUAAUCAGCAUGGUUGUGAGACCUCUUCCAGCUCCAUUCAGCCUCCUAUGAGGAAGAGGGAGAUGGUGGGAGUCAAUCAGGACUGAGAUGAGCUAAAGUAUGACUGGUGAAAAGGACAAGGGGGCUAGAUUCAAAAGCAGAGGCCAGAGUCGAGUUGAAAUGGCUAACCAAAGGCCUGAGAUUAAAGAAUGGGAGGGGGAAGAGAAGUCAGAGGAGCCAUGAUGGCCCAGCAAAGGGCUCUAUGGAAUGAAAGCUUGGAUGAGAGGCAAGAAGAAAUUUAGGAAGGGGAGGCAGAGAGAGAAAGAGAGAGGAAAGAAAUGGGCACAUCAAGGAAUGUCAGUUUCAAAUAAGGAAAGAGGAACACUUGCGGGCAAUGGAGAAAUGAGACGACUCCUAAUGGAUGAAACCCUUUAGGCUCCUGAUAAAGACAGUUACUGGUUUCUUCCACUCCCUGUUCCUCCCUAAAGUGCCUUCUACAAAGCCAUUUCAAGACAUAAGCAAGUGAUCAUGAGAGCAAUGCUAGUAUUUUUCCAGGAAGCUCUCCUUUGGAGGCUGUUGAAAACUUGGCUACAGUUUCUAGGUCAGAGAGAAGAGCUAGGAAGCUGCUGCAGGCCCUUGGAUCCUGAAUGUUAUUCCAAAAACAUUUCCUAGAUAAAUCUUCCUGAAUUAAUUUCAGGUCAUUUAUAAUGUGAUACUAAGCAAUUCUCAGCAAGUACAUAAAGCUGACACAUCAAAAAGAAGAAUAAGAUGAUUUCUUAAAAUCUAUUUCAAUUCUUAAAUCUAAAUCCUAUUUUAAUCCACAUUCAAAAUUUUUCUUUUCUAAAAAAUCAUAAAAAAAUACUUAGAAGCCUUCCUUCCUUCCUUCUUUCCUUCCUUCCUUCCUUCCUUCCUUCCUUCCUUUCUUUCUUUCUUUCUUUCUUUCUUUCUUUCUUUCUUUCUUUCUUUCUUUCUUUCUUUCUUUCUUUCUUUCUUUCUUUCUUUCUUUCUUUCUUUCUUUCUUUCUUUCUUUCUUUCAACUUCACCUUCCAUCUUGGAGUCAAUACUGUGUAUUGGCUCCAAGGCAGAAGAGUGGUCAGGGCUAGGCAAUGGGGGUGAAGUGACUUGCCCAGGGUCACACAGCUGGGAAAUGUCUGAGAUUCGAACCUAGGACCUCCCGUCUCUAGGCCUGGCUCUCAAUCCACUGAGUUACCCACCCGCCCCCUCAGAAGCCUUUCUUAAGAAACUACAUAUUGAGUGGCCGGGUGGCUCAGUGGAUUCAGAGCUAGGCCUAGAGAGGGGAGGUCCUGGGUUGAAAUCUGGCCUCAGACACUUCCCAGCUAUGUGACCCUAGGCAAGUCAUUUGACCAACUUACCACUUUUCUGCCUUGGAACCAAUAUACGGUAGAGAUUCCAAGAUGGAAGGUGAGGGUUUUUUUAAAAAAAAAGAAACUACAUAACAUUUAAAUUAUAACUCCUUGUAUUACUCAUAGUUUUGAGUUAAGAGGAUCUAAUCAAGUUCUUCAAAGAAUUUCUCAACUAGUUGAUCUACAGUCAUUAAUAUGUUCGUGGUGGUCUUUUGGCAAAUAUUUAUAAUAAUGCAAUAUUUGAGGACUAAAUAUCCUGUGAAAGAAUGUUUCUUGUUACCUUUCAAUGUAGGAUGACACCUCCUCCAUCAGCGACUUUCUUUGCCUUGCAGAGAGUACCUUUAAGUCAUCCUUCCACUUAGCUACAAGUUUCUUCUUCUGGUUUCAUUUGUAAAAAAAGCAUAUCAUUGCUACUCAUCUCCAGAUAGAGGUGAUGGAUUCAGGGCGCAGGGUGAGAUCAACAUUUGUACUUAUAUCUAUUAUGGAUCCCGCUAUUGUGGGAAUUUCUUUUGCUUAAUUAUAUAUGCUUGUAACCGGUAUUUGUUUGAUUAUUUCUUUUGCUUUCUUAAUGAGGGGGAGGUGAGAAGGAAAGAGUUCAGAGCUGACAAUAAAACUGAAUUCAAAAACAAAGGGAAAAAA